rnacentral:lncRNA from 1 species
GAGAAAGGAAUAGCUUCGGGCAGACUGGCCAGCCUCACUCAGAACCCAUCACCUCCGAUGCCCACAAGCUCAGCAGCCGGGGAUGCAGAGGAGGCUUGCUGCAGGAACUUCCACCCCGCCUGGGAAAUCUUAGUUCCUCCCGUCCCAUCCCACGCUUGUGCAACCGAUUUUGUGACUCAAGAUGCAAACUUCCCAUCUUCGGGGGUCCUGGGAUGUUGAACUCAGACUUGGCCAUAAGCGACCUCACCAACUGAGCCACCUCCCCGAGGCCUUGGAGGUGGUUUGUGAGAGCAGCUCCAAGAGAAGAGGAAGUACAAGGAUGUCCAGGGUUGACUGGCACACACUGCAGCUUCUGGGGCCACACCCCUACCUCUUGCUGAUGCACAGGGUCCUCCAGACCAUUGCCCUAUCCCCGCCCCUGGGCUCUGGCUCUACCACCUACGGAAUUAGACCCAGAGUGGCAGUUUCACAAAGGCUGCUGAGAAGAGUGAAGGUUGGAUGUGGGCCGGGCUCAGUCACCUCAGGGCUGUUUAUCCUUCCCAAGCAGCCGGUCAUGUGCCUGGCUAUUUGCAGCUGAGAGACAGAAGAAAGAACUCCGGGAACUAGAAAGUCGCUGCUUCCUGGAUUUGGGUGUGGAUUUGGAUCAGGUGACCUGACUGUUGCUUAGAGGCCUGGCUUCUGUCUUCACCAUUAGUUCUUACUACAGGGAAAGCAAGCAACAACCGGGAUGUCCACAGGUUCUCCCUAGGUCAAGUGGCCACCCCAAGGCCCAGGUCUGUCAUUUGGCUCAUAAACAAGGACAAGUACAGGAAAGUGGUACACUCUGCCCGUAGCUCUGACUCUUUUGUUUUGUUUUAGAUUUAUGUGUGUGUGUGUGUACACUAUUGCUGUCUUCAGACACUUCAGAAGAAGGUGUCAGAUAUCAUUACAGAUGGUUGUGAGCCACCAUGUGGUUGCUGGGGUUUGAACUCAGGACCUCUGGAAGAACAGUCAGUGCUCUUAACCUCUGAGCCAUCUCUCCAGCCCCGUAGCUCUGAGUCUUAGCACACCAGAGCCUAGGAAAUGUACAGGUCAUGAGUUGUUUGUUUUUGUUUUUGUUCAUUUUUUUGGUUUUUUUCGAGACAAGGUUUCUCUGUGUAGCCCUAGCUGUUCUGGAACUCACUCUGUAGACCAGGCUGGCCUCGAACUCAGAAAUCUGCCUGCCUCUGCCUCCCGAGUGCUGGG